rnacentral:rRNA from 1 species
CACAUGCAAGUCGAACGAUGAUCUCCAGCUUGCUGGGGGGAUUAGUGGCGAACGGGUGAGUAACACGUGAGUAACCUGCCCUUGACUCUGGGAUAAGCCUGGGAAACUGGGUCUAAUACCGGAUACGACCGCUCCACGCAUGUGGUGGUGGUGGAAAGCUUUUGCGGUUUUGGAUGGACUCGCGGCCUAUCAGCUUGUUGGUGGGGUAAUGGCCUACCAAGGCGACGACGGGUAGCCGGCCUGAGAGGGUGACCGGCCACACUGGGACUGAGACACGGCCCAGACUCCUACGGGAGGCAGCAGUGGGGAAUAUUGCACAAUGGGCGGAAGCCUGAUGCAGCGACGCCGCGUGAGGGAUGACGGCCUUCGGGUUGUAAACCUCUUUCAGUAGGGAAGAAGCGUAAG